rnacentral:rRNA from 1 species
AACGAACGCUGGCGGCAUGCCUAACACAUGCAAGUCGAACGAGAUCUUCGGGUCUAGUGGCGCACGGGUGCGUAACGCGUGGGAAUCUGCCCUUCGGUUGGGAAUAACUGAGAGAAAUUUCAGCUAAUACCUUAUAAUGUCUUCGGACCAAAGAUUUAUCGCCGAGGGAUGAGCCCGCGUAGGAUUAGGUAGUUGGUGGGGUAAUGGCCUACCAAGCCGACGAUCCUUAGCUGGUCUGAGAGGAUGAUCAGCCACACUGGGACUGAGACACGGCCCAGACUCCUACGGGAGGCAGCAGUGGGGAAUAUUGGACAAUGGGCGAAAGCCUGAUCCAGCAAUGCCGCGUGAGUGAUGAAGGCCUUAGGGUUGUAAAGCUCUUUUACCCGGGAUGAUAAUGACAGUACCGGGAGAAUAAGCUCCGGCUAACUCCGUG